UUUUAUCGACAUAAUAAUUCAGAAGGUAAAUGCAUUACACCUCAAUCAAGUAUUCGCUAUACAUCAUGAAAAUGAAUUGGCGGUGAAAUCUUUGCCUUCAUGUUACAAAUUUCGCUUGCAUUCAGAUCUAUCUUUUGUGAACUGAAUAACUAGAGUCCAGCUGAAUGAGAUGUUCCGUUCAUGGCAUAAAAAUUCAGAAUUCUUCUAUCUUCUUCUUGCUUUGGCAGCUUCAGUCAGGCUUUUGAAUUUGUGGCAAGCAUCAACAGGUCGAGCAGAUGCACGUGGUUGUGGUUGUGCUAAACAGAAAAUCGUAUUCUGAACAAAGCAGCCCAGCCAGAAAACAAGGAAAUAAGGAAUACAUUAAGUACCAAAUACCUGUAUACACAGAGAUUUGUUUCAUCUGUAUAGAACAAGUAGUAUAUCAUCAUGAAUUUCAAUCUCAAGACAAUGGUCUUUCACCCAAAUGAAGCUUCUAGUUAGAUCCAUGCAUAACAGUGCCAGAAGAUCUAAAUACGUGCUCAUAUGAGAGCUAACUACUUCACUACAUUUUAUUUUGCAGGGAGAGAGUUAGCUAUUUCUCAACUACAAAAUUUAGCAUCCAAUUGAUUGAUAAGAUUUUAGUCCUCAACAUAUUUAUUAAUGAUAUUAUAUCCAAAACUGUACAGAAACUGCAAGUGCUUCAGUUCUAUAUUGCCCAAACAAUCUAUGGAGAUGCAGAUUGCAAAAGAAAACCAGAAAACUGAAGCCGACGCUAAUUUGCAUUACUAAUUGUGGAAAUUCAUCAAUACAUUUGUUGACGACUAGAAGCUUAUCAUCUUCUUUCAACUGUGAAAAUGGCACGCCUGGGGAUGCCUUUUGUGAUAUAAUUCCUACCUGAAAACGUAAUUUCCUAAUUUUUAUGUGAAAAUCAAUGAUUGCACCCAAAAAACUCAAAAAAUAAUAGUAAACUCUACAAGAAGUAUGUGAAGUGUUUACUUUAACUCGAGCAUGAGGUAUAUCUACUUUAAACCCAUACAUAUAUGGUAGGAAAGUCACAUAUGCAUUCUAAAUAGAUAGGAAUCCCAAAAAUGAUUUAUUUUAUUCUAGUAGGAAAUUUUAGCAGCACCUCCAGAAUAUACAUUAAGUAGUAACAUUAUAAUAAUGUUUGGAGGAGCUACUAGCUGUAGGUAUGACUCUGAGCUACUAGCGGCACCUCAACAAUAUAUUUUGCAGCAAGAUCUGCUCAUCAUGUAUUGUGGUACAACGAUAUAUCGUAGAACAAAACAUUUCUCCCAUACCUUCCCAAAAAAAGCCAAGAGAAAUUCAGUGACUUUGAUAAGGCAAUCAGGCUAUACAACUAAAGUCAGUUCACAAAAGGGGAAUUCUGCAGAGGAAGAAAAAUGUAUGUUUUGAGGGAGCAUAUGUACAUGGUGAGGCCACACCUGGAUCCCUAACACAAAAAGAUUGAACUAAGGAAUGAGAGGUGCUUCAAACAACAUCAAGAACAACACUAGUUGGACAAAAAUACCUUCCUUUUGGAAUUGGAUAUGGGUAUCUCGAUAAGAAUCAGGAAACAGUACAAGAACUUGGCCAACAAAAUUAGCAUCUAGAAAGUACGCAAACUACAAUGAAGAAAAACGAUGCUGAGGUCGCAGCCAUCCUAGGAUUGUGGCGGAUACGCCAAGAAAAUUCUGAUAUUAUAAGCCUGAGCAUAUGAAUGUUUAUUUCACAUAGAAUGGUAAUUUCAUGCUCCUCUCAAUACAACAGACAUGAGUGAUUCCUUGACAAGUAAUUUUCCCCAUCACAACUUACCAUCCCCGUUUUGAUGUCAAACUCAUGCAAACAAAUUCGGAUGCACUCUUGAUGACACAAACAUCCUCCAGUCUAUCAAAAAAUAGGUAGGAAUCCCCAUUUACAUCAUUACAUGAGCUCAUGAAGUAGGAGGAGAGACCAAACUUGAAGAGGAGGUCGAUGAUACCUACGUAGAUUGUAAUGACUCAAGGGCGGCUGGUGAAAUCUCUAGAUCCUUCCAAUCGGGGAGGUGAGGAUGGGACAGGAGAGAAACAGUCCCCGAGCUUGCAGAGCGCGGGGAAGCGACCAAGCGCCGGCGUGGAGCUGAGGUCGCGCUUGGACGAGGCGGCGGCGUCGCUUCCGUUGAAUUGGAUCACGCCGGCGGGACGACCUCUUCUCCUCGUACAAAGCCACCGGAGCUAGUUCACGACCGCAGGGAUAUAGUGACCUGUUUUGCUGGCCUUCGGCGAUGGGGAACCGUCGUGGCGGCGGUGGAUGGACGGUCUGGUGGAGAUGGUGUGGAAUAUGGCACCUCCCCUACCAGUCUCCCACGACCCAUAGAAAGUGGGCUUUCUUCCAAAA
rnacentral:lncRNA from 1 species